AAGUCGUAACAAGGUUUCCGUAGGUGAACCUGCGGAAGGAUCAUUAACACGUAUCCAACGUUAAACCCCCCGUGCACCUUCACAGAGCGCGCCGCUCCUCUCGACAACAGCAAUCCUGGUAAAUCAGUGGGCGAAAAGUCUUUGAUUCAGGACCUCUGAAGUUGUAAGCAGGUGGUUUGAGCCUUCUAUCGCCAGUCUGGAGUCCUGGCCGGGCGGAUGAAAGUGUCGCUAGACGGUUUCUAGGGUAAGGCUUCUCCGCCCCUUUACGACGACCAAGUUAAAUUAGGCCUCUACCACAUAGCAAGUGCGCCGUGGUAGAGGAAAACGUACAACUGUUAACAAUGGAUAUCUUGGUUCUC
rnacentral:misc_RNA from 1 species